AUUGAACGCUGGCGGCAUGCCUUACACAUGCAAGUCGAACGGCAGCACGGGGGCUUGCACCUGGUGGCGAGUGGCGAACGGGUGAGUAUUACAUCGGAACGUACCUUAUCGUGGGGGAUAACGCAGCGAAAGCUGUGCUAAUACCGCAUACGCCCUGAGGGGGAAAGCGGGGGAUCGCAAGACCUCGCGCGAUUAGAGCGGCCGAUGCCUGAUUAGCUUGUUGGUGGGGUAAAAGCCCACCAAGGCGACGAUCAGUAGCUGGUCUGAGAGGACGAUCAGCCACACUGGGACAGCAAACCGGCCCAGACUCCUACGGGAGGCACAAAAAAAGAAUUUUGGACAAUGGGGGCAACAAAGAACACGCAAUGCCGCGUGAGUGAAGAAGGCCUUCGGGUUGAAAAGAGAGGGAGUCAGGAAAGAAAAAAAGGAGAGAACACAGUCCGGGAAUGACGGUACAUGAAGAAUAAGCACCGGCUAACUACGUGCCAGCAGCCGCCGUAA
rnacentral:rRNA from 1 species